GAUGAACGCUGGCGGCGUGCCUAAUACAUGCAAGUCGAGCGAACAGACGAGGAGCUUGCUCCUCUGACGUUAGCGGCGGACGGGUGAGUAACACGUGGAUAACCUACCUAUAAGACUGGGAUAACUUCGGGAAACCGGAGCUAAUACCGGAUAAUAUAUUGAACCGCAUGGUUCAAUAGUGAAAGACGGUUUUGCUGUCACUUAUAGAUGGAUCCGCGCCGCAUUAGCUAGUUGGUAAGGUAACGGCUUACCAAGGCAACGAUGCGUAGCCGACCUGAGAGGGUGAUCGGCCACACUGGAACUGAGACACGGUCCAGACUCCUACGGGACGCAGCAGUAGGGAAUCUUCCGCAAUGGGCGAAAGCCUGACGGAGCAACGCCGCGUGAGUGAUGAAGGUCUUCGGAUCGUAAAACUCUGUUAUUAGGGAAGAACAAAUGUGUAAGUAACUAUGCACGUCUUGACGGUACCUAAUCAGAAAGCCACGGCUAACUACGUG
rnacentral:rRNA from 1 species